AUAACUGUUACUGAAAGAAGGUGGUGGUCAGUGAUUUAUUAAGAAAUGUUUAUUUGUCCAUUAUUAGUUCUAUAUUUAUUAUUCUCACUAUAACAGAUGACGAAGUGAGACGGAACAUUUUCAGUUUUCAUUCAGUUGCAUAAUAAUUCUGCACACAAAUAGAUUCUCAAUAAUCACACACAGAUAUUGUUCUAAGACAAAAUCUCACUUUUAUUAUAUUAAAUAUUCAGGUUUGACAGGUUAUUACAGAAAGCGAUGAAGUUGUUCAACAAUACAAUGAAUCCUCCAAACUACAACUUGUGUAAUAACUGUUUACGCAGAGAAUGACCUCAGAUCAGAUUAUGACCUCAGAUCAGAUUAUGACCUCAGAUCAGAUUAUGACCUCAGGCGUUGCUGAAACCUCUGGUGUUUCAUCACAUGGAGACGUUUGUAGAUGUGAAUCUUGGUUUUUCACCAUGAGAUGCAGAUUUCUCUCUGCCAGCUGCCAAGUUCUGAUGACAUGACUCUGAUGUUUAUCUCCCAGCGUUUCUGUUACAGAACCAGAACGUCAGCAGAAGGUAGAAAUGAACUGAGAUCCUGGAGAAAGUAAAUAAUCAGGAGAGAUUAAAAAGAUCUGCAGCUGUUAUACAUUUAGUUAUGAACAACUCAGUUUUUUUUAUUACAUUAGAUUCAGACUCCUGCAGCAUCUUUAAAGCCCCGCCCCUCUUGGGCGGAUCCAGUCUGAUAUAAACUGGAGUCAACGCAGAGAGGGUCAGUCGCUUCAGCUUCUUCACCAUCAUCAUCAUCAUCGGUUCCAGUCAGACUCAUCUGGACUCUCCAGUUUCCAGCACGAUGGCAGGAUGGAGGCAGACAUGGAGGCCUCUGCAGCUCCUGGUCAUCUUCAGCCUCCUCUUCCUCACCAACCAGUCCGAGAUGAGAGGAGAAGCUGAGGAGAAGCUGAACCUCAGAGGAACAUUGCAGGAAGAGCUGCACAUCUUCUCAUUAAGUUUGAUCAACAAACAGCUGCUGCACAACCACAC